GACGAACGCUGGCGGCGUGCUUAACACAUGCAAGUCGAACGGUGAAGCGCCUUCCUUUUUGGUGGGUGUGGAUGAGUGGCGAACGGGUGAGUAACACGUGAGUAACCUGCCCCCUUCUUCUGGAUAACCGCAUGAAAGUGUGGCUAAUACGGGAUAUUCUGGGUCUGUCGCAUGAUGGGUCUGGGAAAGAUAUUGUUUCGGUGGGGGAUGGGCCCGCGGCCUAUCAGCUUGUUGGUGGGGUGAUGGCCUACCAAGGCGGUGACGGGUAGCCGGCCUGAGAGGGUGGACGGUCACACUGGGACUGAGACACGGCCCAGACUCCUACGGGAGGCAGCAGUGGGGAAUAUUGCACAAUGGGCGCAAGCCUGAUGCAGCGACGCCGCGUGAGGGAUGGAGGCCUUCGGGUUGUGAACCUCUUUCGCCAGUGAAGCAGGCCUGCCUCGUUUGUGGGUGGGUUGACGGUAGCUGGAGAAGAAGCGCCGGCUAACUACGUG
rnacentral:rRNA from 1 species